rnacentral:rRNA from 1 species
CAGCCGCCACGGGAAUACAGAGGGUGCGAGCGUUAAUCGGAUUUACUGGGCGUAAAGCGUGCGUAGGCGGCUUCUUAAGUCGGAUGUGAAAUCCCCGAGCUUAACUUGGGAAUUGCAUUCGAUACUGGUUAGCUAGAGUGUGGGAGAGGAUGGUAGAAUUCCAGGUGUAGCGGUGAAAUGCGUAGAGAUCUGGAGGAAUACCGAUGGCGAAGGCAGCCAUCUGGCCUAACACUGACGCUGAGGUACGAAAGCAUGGGGAGCAAACAGGAUUAGAUACCCCCGUAGUCCCUGUCUCUUAUAC